rnacentral:misc_RNA from 1 species
GCUGUGUUCCAGGGAUGGC